rnacentral:piRNA from 1 species
UCCUUGUGAUACUAAGAAUCUGCGUAGGC